GUGGCAUUGGAGGUCUCAUUCCUUGUUGCUGCGGAGGAAUUCCAGGCUGUGGUGGCAUCAUACCUCCAAUUGGUCCAACGGGUGGAUUACCCAAGGAAGCUUGUCCCGGACGAGGAAGAUUACGCUGAUACUUGGGCAGCUGUGCCCUUCUCUCUUCCAGUGAUAUAUCCUCAUCUGGAUGGAUCAACUUACUGGUUGCACUGGUUGUGGUAAGGGUAGCAGGCUUACUUGUUAUAGAUGUAGCUGGUUUAGCUGCAGUACUGUUUGUGGUGCUAGUGGUUGAGGUUGUAGACUGUGUGUAAGCAGGGAAUGUAGGUUUGGGGGGUUCUGUUGUUGUUGCUGUAGAAUUCAAAGGUUUGAAAUCAGUACCAACCGGACCUUGAACAGCUGCUGCAGCCUGCCCUGCACUUGGGAAGAGUGGUUUAGUAACAGGAGGCUGAGGGGUAGGUGCUGACGCAGCAGGAGCUGGUGGUCUGUUAAGAAUGCCUGGUGCUGUAGCAGGCUGUGCUUGUGUCAUAGGAGGCAUCCCAGGACGAGGACCAACAGGUGGCGGCAUACCUGGUGGCAUACCAGGCAUAAGAGGUGGUAUUCCUGGACCAGGAGGCAUCAUUCCACCCAUUGGCAUCAUCAUGUUUCCACCACAAAAUGACUGCAUGUAUUUUCUUUGUUGAUGUAAUCCAGGUGGCAUUCCAGGCAUAACCGGAGGCAUUCCAGGCAUCAUGGGUGGGACACCUGCCAUUAAUGGUGGUAUACCAGGAGGCAUCCCUGGCGCACCUGGCACAGGAGGCAAACCUGGUUGUGCCAUUGGGGGAAUGUACCCCUGCUGCGGCUGAACUUGUUGGGGCUGAAAUGAAGUUGAAGCUGCAGAUUCAUCAUCUUCGUAUUCAUCAGAAUCAUCUUGUUGCUUCUUUUUCUGGCUUUCCUGAGUUUUUUGUUCAAGUAACCUCCUCCGUUCCUCCAUAUCUUUUUCUGGAAUGCCCUCCAUGCCAUAGAUUUCCAGUUCAAUGUCUGUUCUUCCAGGAAUAGCAUUUGGAACAGCAUCUAUUGUUUCUUUGUGCACCUGCAUGCAAUGUAUAGCUAAACCAGGUCCUGUAUACAAUUUCUUAUGACAUAUAUGGCAUUUAAAGUGCUUCGCUUUUUGAUGCUGUAUAAGGAUUUUUUCAUCAUCAAAAUCCCUGUUACAAUACCAGCACCAGGGCUUCAGCUGCUUCUUCUUCUUACGGCCCAUGACGACAGAACACGCGACCUACGCAGAAAAAAAAAUAAUAAUAAUAAAAAAACGAUCGGCCGACCCUCUUCCCCGCCGAGCCGCAGCGCCCGCAGUCGCGGCCGCGCAGACCCAAGCA
rnacentral:lncRNA from 1 species